rnacentral:rRNA from 1 species
UAGAUACCCUGGUAGUCCACGCCGUAAACGUUGGGCACUAGGUGUGAGGCUCCUUUCCGGGGGUUUUGCGCCGUAGCUAACGCAUUAAGUGCCCCGCCUGGGGAGUACGGCCGCAAGGCUAAAACUCAAAGGAAUUGACGGGGGCCCGCACAAGCGGCGGAGCAUGCGGAUUAAUUCGAUGCAACGCGAAGAACCUUACCAAGGCUUGACAUGUUAACCGUGGCUCUAGAGAUAGGGUUUACCCUUUUGG